UCCUCACCUACACUGCCCAUCCGCAUCGCCCACUUACUGAGUGGGCCUAUGGCUCUCGCUGUUCCAGUAUGAGAAACCUUUGCAAACCCACGUGCAUGCAAAUACGCAUGCACAAACACUCCAUUUUCAGACUGCUUAUUUGCACAGUCAGCUAAUGUUUGCUUUCUUAUUCAAAUGAUAUACAAGGGAUUGCCUGGACAAAUAUGAAAAUACGAGAUACAAGAGGAAGAGGUAUUAAUGUUGAAUGAGGUUGUUUUGGUCUGUGUGAACUCUGUAUUUACCACUGACUUACAGUUGCAGUCUGCAACCUCAGAGACGUAGAGAAGAGCGUGUGCAUGGAUUAUGGCCCUUAAAUAUAACUUGCAUCAACAGUGCAUUGAACUCUAUAGUGGCAAGUUACUGUGUUACCCUGCCCUGGUGCUGCAGUGCACACAUGGUCAAGCAGUCUAACAGUUCAAGUGUCGUCUUUUGCCCCAUUUACUGACCUUUCAAAGGGCAGCAAGUGAUUACCCAACAUCUCACAUGUUAUAUCAUCCAUGCCUUCAUGAAAAUCAAAACAAGAGAGACUGAUCCCAUGCGUACAACAUCAUAAAAGCCGGCAUUUCAAUCAUGACACUGAGAAAAUAUUAAUCUAAUUAUUGGUGCAAAUAGUAAAAUGCUCUUCUAUGAAGAUCUGUAAGGUUUUUCAUAUGGAGGUUAAAACACCGUGAUACUUGUGCUGAGAGGUACGUAAGUCUUUGGAAGUUGAAGUUCAACCUUUUAAAAUGAUUAUUUUGCUAUAUAUAUAUAUAUAUUCGCUGCCUCUCACCUCUUUCCAUUCCACCUGUGCUGAGAAUCUGGAGUCUGCAGGAACCUUGGGCACAUGGCCGGGUCAACACUUUGCAAUAUUACAGACUCAAUGUGUUCCCAGAGUGCAGCUCCGAUAACUGCUGUAUAUCGUAGAUAUGUCUGCAUGAGCCUGUUUAAAGGAUUAGAUGUCCUCAUGCAACAGAACUGAGAGAAUCUUUCAAAGGAGAGAGAGUGUUUGGGCGUCUUUGUCCACAGUUCUGCACAUGAAGCGCAUAUGCAAAUUCACUGCUCAAGGGAAAUUUUCUUCCUCAAGAAGUCACCAAAGUUCAUUCCAAAAGAUAAGUAUUUGCAUUAAAAUGUGGGAUUGAAAUUUGCAUAGAGAAUAUUUGGGAGUUUAGAAGUACACACAGGGAAAUUUUGUUGUCUUAAUGGCUAAUAUAUUUACAAAUUCAUUUCUAAAAAUUUUACUACAAUGUAAAGUCAUAUUUACAGCAACACCUUUAUAUCCUGAAUUAUGUUUUUACCUAUUUGAUUCAUCCACAUAUUUGGUGAAUGCAGCAUAACACAUGAUAUCUCUGUCCAUUUAAAAUCCUGCUGGGAAUUGCAUGUACCAGCAUGUUCUCUAGCCUCUUUUCUCACACUUUUGUGGAAGUACACUUUCACACAGUACAUUUUUUUUUCCCUCUCCAUUGGGAACAAAUCUUUCCCUGAAUCCCAGCAUUCUCUUUAUAGGUGGGGACAUGUAGUUUCUGCCUGCAGGCUAGAGUUCUUCAUCAACCUGAGCUGUUUCUUUCUCUGCCAGGCCUGCUUGACCCGUUUCUCCUGCUGCAGUCCCGGAGGAACUGGUUCUGGUUCCUGAGCACCAGUCUUACAGUGAGGAGCUGGGGAUGUCUUCCCUUGGACCAGCUUCAUUGUCACCUAAGCCAGAUUCCUGCUCUUCAGCCCUGGAUUUCAACAUCUGAUGUAUCAUCCACAGCACCUAUUUAUGACGUUAGUCACAGUGUGACCC